AUCGCUUCUCGGCCUUUUGGCUAAGAUCAAGUGUAGUAUCUGUUCUUAUCAGUUUAAUAUCUGAUACGUCCUCGAUGAGAGGACUCUUUUUUUCUACAAGAAGGACAUCGA
rnacentral:snRNA from 1 species